rnacentral:rRNA from 1 species
UACGUAGGUGACAAGCGUUGUCCGGAUUUACUGGGCGUAAAGAGCGCGCAGGCGGUCGUUCAAGUCGAGUGUGAAAGCCCCCGGCUCAACUGGGGAGGGUCAUUCGAUACUGAUCGACUCGAAGGCAGGAGAGGGAAGUGGAAUUCCCGGUGUAGUGGUGAAAUGCGUAGAUAUCGGGAGGAACACCAGUGGCGAAGGCGAGUCUCUGGACAUUUCCUGACGCUGAGGCACGAAAGCCAGGGGAGCAAACGGGG